rnacentral:rRNA from 1 species
AAACAUGUCUUUUAGAAUUAAAUUUAAAGUCGGACCUGCCCACUGAGGUAUUGAAUGGCCGCAGUAUUUUAACUGUGCAAAGGUAGCAUAAUCAUUAGUUUUUUAAUUGAAGACUUGUAUGAAUGGUUGGACAAAAUAUAUAUUGUUUCAUAUAAAUUUAUAGAAUUUUAUUUUUUAGUUAAAAAGCUAAAAUUUAAUUAAAAGACGAGAAGACCCUAUAGAUCUUUAUAAUUAUUGAAUUUUAUUUAUUAGGAAUAUUUUAAAUUUGAUUUAAAUAAUUAUUUUAUUGGGGUGAUAGUAAGAUUAAGUAAACUCUUAUAAAGAUUGUACCAUAAAUUAAUGAUUGAGUUGAUCCAAUAUUAUUGAUUAAUAAAAUAAGUUACCUUAGGGAUAACAGCGUAAUUUUUUUAGAGAGUUCAUAUCGAUAAAAAAGAUUGCGACCUCGAUGUUGGAUUAAGAUAUAAAUUUGGGUGUAGCUGUUCAAAUUUAAAGUCUGUUCGACUUUUUAAUUCUUACAUGAUCUGAGUUCAAACCGGA